AAUCAAGUCCUCUUUUACCUCUCAUAUGUCUAGGAAGCACAGGAACUGUUCAGUUAACAGCAUUAGUGAUUCACAUCGGCCUUCUGCAUCACAGAUACUGGCUGUUUCAACUGAGCAAUUUCCUGCUGACCUGGAUCCAAAUACAGGCGAGUCAGAAUCAUGGAUGAAUCAGAGCAAAGCAAUGUAAUCAGAGCAAUGGCUGAGUUACUCAAAGAUAUUUCAUCCUCGGUGCUGCAAUCAGUUGUGGAGACACUGAACUCACUUGGAGUAAUCUCACCUGAAGAUUUUCAAUAUGUUCAGGAAGCAGAUCGCUUGCCAGUACUACGACCCAUUCAGGCCAGAAAACUUGUAUCUGCCUGGAGCCAGAUCAAACAAAGUGCUGAUAGCUUGUCAAGUUCUAGAGAGAGCAGUGGUGGCACUCGUUCAUCUUCAUCUUCAUGUUCAUCAUCCC